rnacentral:lncRNA from 10 species
CUGGGAUUACAGGCGUGAGCCACCUUGCCUGGCCCAACAAUACCUUUUAAAUUGUUAGGGAUUAAUACUUUGAGAUGAAGGCGCUGACAAAUAUUUUGUGAUAUUCUGUUUUUACACAGUAUUUCUUCUCUGCCUAUGUACUCAGAGCUGUGAGACAGCUAAUGCUCUCCAGAGGACUCAGGGAAGGUACCAGCAGGCAACAGCUGUGCAGUAAUGGACAGCGUUCUCCUUGAGUAGAAGCCAUAUGAAAAGCCAUCACGAGGAUGGUGAAGCAGAAAAACAGGAGCUGGCUUCCUCCUGAGUGCCAUAGAGAUAUAAUCCUGCCGAUUCACAGAAAUACUUGAAGAUAUGCAAGCAAACAUUUUUAGGGCCUGUGAGAUGAAACUGAGGCUAAGACAAUAUUAUUAUAAUAUCAAUUUGGAAUCCAUGUGCUGGUGAGGGGUUGUUUUAGAAACAAAAGCUACUGACAUUACUAUUGACUUUUUUUUUAAAUGGAGUAGUUACUAAAAUGUAGACAAAAAUCAAACUUUAGAUGGAGAAUAGGAGUAUAAUCUUGAUUACAAUUAACAAUACAUGUUCUUC